rnacentral:lncRNA from 10 species
UUUAUCUAUCUGUAUUCUUAACAUCCUUUAUGAACCAGAUCAACUUCAAUCUUCUGCAGAAAGCCCUCAAACAUUUCAGGAGUUUUACAUGAUAUGGACAGGAGACGGAAAUACUGGGUAGAAAAGGGCAGUUCCCUGGCAAAGCCUCACCCUCAAGCCUGGAUACCUGCUGUCUUAAACGAAAACGAAAACAGGCAUUUCUGUGUUCAUGCUCCAAAAGUUAUCUUUUGGCCUGCCACACCCCCUAUCCUGCACCCAUAUGAAUCCCGAACCCCAGACUCCAGAAGCAGACCAGCAAGCCCGCAGACCAGCAGAAGGAUGGCAGAACGAUGUGGCAGAGAAAGGGAGAAGAGGAGGAACAUCUGAAUGCCAAAAUGAGUUCAGCUGGGGGCAGUCAGAGAGGAGUCCAGCCACUGGGCAGCCAGAAUCCAGGGGAGGAUCACCUUUCCACUUCAUCCCCUUCCUCUGCCUCCCCAUCCAUCCUGCUGAAAGCCACCUCCACCACUCAAUAAAACCUGCCAUUCAUCCUUGGAGUCCAUGUGUGACCUGAUUUUUCCAAGACACUGGACAAGAGCUCAGAUACAGAAAGCUAUCACCUUGGCCCUCUGCCCUUGUGAAAAGGCAGAGAGUUCAUUGAGCUGAUUAACACUCAAGCCAUCUGCAGACGGCAAAGCUGAAAGAGCAUUGUGGCUCACUCCUGCAAUCCCAGGACUUUGGGAGGCCAAGGCGGGUGGAUCACAAGGUCAGGAGUUCGAGACCAGCCUGGCCAACAUGGUGAAACCCCGUCUCUACUAAAAAUACAGAAAUUAGCUGGGCAUGGUGGUGUGCAAUCCCAGCUACUCGGGAGGCUGGCACAGGAGAAUUGCUUGAACCAGGGAGGCAGAAGUUGCAGUGGGCCGAGAUCACGCCACUGCACUCCAGCCUGGGUGACAGAGUGAGACACC